AUUGAACGCUGGCGGCAGGCCUAACACAUGCAAGUCGAACGAGUGGCGGACGGGUGAGUAAUGUCUGGGAAACUGCCUGAUGGAGGGGGAUAACUACUGGAAACGGUAGCUAAUACCGCAUACCAUCGGAUGUGCCCAAGGGUGAUUAGCUAGUUGGUGGGGUAAAGGCUCACCAAGGCGACGAUCACUAGCUGGUCUGAGAGGAUGACCCGCCACACUGGAACUGAGACACGGUCCAGACUCCUACGGGAGGCAGCAGUGGGGAAUAUUGCACAAUGGGCGCAAGCCUGAUGCAGCCAUGCCGCGUGAAUGAAGAAGGCCUUCGGGUUGUAAAGUACUUUCAGCGAGGAGGCGUUACCCGCAGAAGAAGCACCGGCUAACUCCGUGCCAGCCGCCGCGGUAAUUC
rnacentral:rRNA from 1 species